rnacentral:rRNA from 1 species
AUCCCUUUUUCUCGUGCAUAUGCAUCGGACUCCGAUGACGAUGGUCCCGAUGAAGAAGUUGAUGAGGAGGGGUUCACGCCCAAGGAGGCCCAAGCAUUUAAGAAGGUAUUCGAGCGGGAUCACAAGACACCAUUGUUCAAGGAUUUUAGUCUCGCGGAUGAAGCCGUUGUAGAUGGUGGCAAAUGUAUAUCUCUUGGAGCUAGGCCAAGUUCUCACCGUGAUUUGGAAGACGGCAAGAAUGGGAUAUAUCCCGGUUGUGAGUUUCAAUCCUUCUUGAAAUUGAAGAUGCGGCUCGACAACUACUCGGUUACGCAUUAUCGUCCACGUAAAGUGGCCAACUCGGACGUCAAUGUGCGUUACACGGUUAAAUGUGAAGUGCCAAGAUGUUCAUGGAUUGUGCGUGCAAGCAGGGCCGGUCCUGAGAUUUCGGGGGCCCGGGGCAAGACAACACAAAGGGGCCCUAAAGCCACAUUUUUCUCUAUCUCAGUUGCAUAUAAAUACUCAAUGCACCAUAUUUUAUGUUGCAUUGUCAUGUCGACCAUCCAACAAACCAAGGUCAUAAACAUUCACAGAAAAAUUUGUCGCUCUUUUCAAUCGGCCCUAUAUGUUUCUAUUAGGUUCGUGCCUAUACUAAAUAUUAUUAUCCUAUAUUUUGUCAAUUUUUUCAACAGUAAGUAA